CCUACGGGAGGCAGCAGUGGGGAAUAUUGCGCAAUGGGCGAAAGCCUGACGCAGCGACGCCGCGUGAGGGAUGAAGGUCUUCGGAUCGUAAACCUCUGUCAGCAGGGAAGAACGGUCACUGUGCUAAUCAGCAGUGAAUUGACGGUACCUGCAAAGGAAGCACCGGCUAACUCCGUGCCAGCAGCCGCGGUAAUACGGAGGGUGCGAGCGUUAAUCGGAAUUACUGGGCGUAAGGCGCUCGUAGGCGGUAUGUCAAGUCAAGGGUGAAAUCCCCGCGCUCAACGUGGGAACUGCCUUUGAAACUGGCAGACUGGAGUGUGUGAGAGGAUAGUGGAAUUCCAGGUGUAGGAGUGAAAUCCGUAGAUAUCUGGAGGAACAUCAGUGGUGAAGGCGACUAUCUGGCACAUAACUGACGCUGAGGAGCGAAAGCGUGGGUAGCAAACAGGAUUAGAUACCCUUGUAGUC
rnacentral:rRNA from 1 species